GCUUCUCAAUCAUAUACAUCCAAUAAAAUUGAAACGAGACAGAGAAGAUUUCCAUGGCCCCUUCAUAAGGAUGACACGCACAAAUCGAGAAAGUAUUGGUUGCUUU